CAACGUGCGAUCGUGGGUAUUUUUAUAAAAUUUCAAAGCGGUUUUAUUGUAUAUGAUUAAAAUUUGAAUAAAAAAGCCGCCGUUAAUUUGAUUUUCGAAAGAAAUUUGUUGUAAAUAAAAAACUUUUAAAGCUUUUUAUUAGAAAUUACCUGACAGUGAUAAGAGUGUUUUGUUGCUUAUCGAAGAGAACAGAGCGAGAGUGAUAAAUUUUAAUAGAAAAAAAAACAUACAAAAUGGAUUCAUAUCUAGUCAAAUGUUUAAACAAUAAAUAAAUUUGGCAGCCAACAUCAUAAACAACAGCAACAACAACUACAACUAUUACAAAAAUCAAAGAAAAAUGGAAAAAUUUACUUAAAAAUCUAAAUCAAGACUGAUUAUAACUUAACAAUUAAAAAAAAACUAUUAAAUUAAAAAAAUAAAAAUAAUAACCUCAAAACUACAACAAAAACACUACAAAAUUUUGUUAACCAAGUAUACGUAAAAACAACAACAACAACAAAA